rnacentral:rRNA from 1 species
UGGGGAAUAUUGCACAAUGGGCGAAAGCCUGAUGCAGCGACGCCGCGUGAGGGAAGAAGGUUUUCGGAUUGUAAACCUCUGUCUUCGGGGACGAUAAUGACGGUACCCGAGGAGGAAGCCACGGCUAACUACGUGCCAGCAGCCGCGGUAAAACGUAGGUGGCAAGCGUUGUCCGGAAUUACUGGGUGUAAAGGGAGCGCAGGCGGAAUGGCAAGUUGAAUGUGAAAACUAUGGGCUCAACCCAUAGAUUGCGUUCAAAACUGCUGUUCUUGAGUGAUGUAGAGGUAGGCGGAAUUCCCGGUGUAGCGGUGGAAUGCGUAGAUAUCGGGAGGAACACCAGUGGCGAAGGCGGCCUACUGGGCAUCAACUGACGCUGAGGCUCGAAAGUAUGGGGAGCAAACA